CAAAAAUAUUUUCAAGAACAUCGGCGCAAAUUAGGAAUUAUUCGUUCAAAGGACGAAACUAGUGAUUAGGAUCAUGACGUAAGAGCAAUUGUUCAAGCCUUCUUCCAAGCAGGUUCUCGAACCGAGCCUUGAGAAAAAAGACGAAGAAUGGGAACUCAUUGUCAGUCGUUUGCAUGGCAGACAACGUUAAUUAUUUCGUGUCUGUGCAGGUCCGUGAAAAUGCGACCACAGGAGCCACUAGGAAUUCCUCUUUUGUUGGUCAAUCAGCUGAUUCCUAGAACGGCUAGAACCGAGUGAGAGCGUCUAGUAAAGUUCCGAAGCGACUUGGCUCGUUGUACGGUCGCGGUCGCGUGGUUUCAAGGACAAGGCAAGGUUGACACGCGCCGCCACUCGCGAACAGCAAGUGGGGGGUCUGGCUUCGUUUCAUUCCCUCCACGUUUGCUUUUCUCUCCCGUUUCAGCAUCGCUCUAUGCCUCGGUGCCUUGCUCUCUAUCCCCCACACGCUUCCGCGCCGCGGUUGGUGACUGCCUUCGCUCGCAGACCUCGUCGUCAAUCUCUUACUGAUAAGUGCUAUCCGGUGACACGCUGCUGGAGCGAACGAUGAUUAUCUGUCCUCGUAGAAAAACGCUGCUGCGAACGCUUCUACCUCCUCUAUCUUUCUCGUUCUGGUUUCGUUUGCUGGAAUCUUGCUCGAAAUCGUGGCAGAUUCACGUUGUAGCGCAUUCAACGGGAAUUUGUUGCAAUGGAUCGACAAAGAGAUUAAGUCGUAGUCUCUUAAAUUAGCCUACUAUUAAAUUAGGUUAAAAGUUUAUGUCCUUUUAUCUAUGGUUAGUCCCUCCCUUAAAUAGGGGGAGAAUGAUACGUACAUUUUUGAAUCUCGAAGUUGAUGAAGAUGCUUUGGAGUACAAUCUUGACGCUGAAUAAAAUGCUUUGGGGUAAAUAUGUUCCCGGGGUACAAAUAUAAAAAGACAUAAAUAUAAAAUUGGAAAUAACGUUGAAAAAGUCUUUAAACAAUCGUAAGAUAGUAUUCUUGAAACGUAUUAAUAUUCUUAAGACAUAUUGGUAUUCUUAACACUUGUAUUAUCAGCAUUCGUUCUUUUUCAAGAGACUCUAGAGACGAACAAGAUUUCAUCAUGCCAAAGGAGCCUGUAUAAUCCAAGGGAAGCAAAAACUUGUCCCGCGUCAGUUAAACGCGACGCGUCGCCUGUCUAAUAGUCUGACCGGCGACGUCCUAUUCUACUUAGACCGCGAACGAGACACGCAUCGCUAUGAGCGGGAAUAAAUCAGAAUGAGUGUUCGAGCGCCAUAAGCACGAUGCCAGAAAGGGCCACGAACCUAUCGAAGGGACGAAGGUACACCGUCCAAGAUUAGUCGUUUGUCUCGCGUCUCACGUACAGGAUCGUCUUCCAAGUUUUUUCUAAGGCGCCGUUUAUCGUGCUGCCGUUCGCGAAACGCGGCCCUUUGCUCGCGAGGCAGAAGAAGCCGGGCAUUUUCGUGCGUUCCACGUGCCACAGAAAUGGUCGUUCGGGUUUCUUUUGCCUCUGGACUUUUGGCCAGCGCGCAUUUACCGAUGUUCACCAUGAAGAUCAACCGACUGACGGUGAACACAACUGCCUUGCGCUCGAUGACUGUCAGACGCGAAUUCAUUGGUAAGAAAUCGAUGGAUUUUAUACCGCUCGAUACUUCUGAACGUGUGUUUUCGUAGAACAGACAAGUUAAAGUAUGUUGUGAGUGUGUCAUCGAUUAAUCGACCUCUGCUUUCAAUUUAGUUUUUGCCGACAGACCUGUUUUUGAGCUCGUGGAAUUUUUUGAACAUUCUUCUACUUUCCUACUUCUUCUUGUAUUUUAGAGGACUAGCAGAUUUUAAGGAUCACUAACCGAUUGUUAGAUAUAUCGUCGUAUACUUUCAGUAAUAAAUGGACUAUGAAUUUUGAUGCAUUUAUGGAAUAUAUAGAAGUAUAUAAGAUAUGUAAAAUAUAGUAUCUGCUAUAAUACUUGGCAAGUGAAACAAAUCUCUGACUAGAUCUUGCUCUUUUAGUUGCGUUCAUAAAAAUAUAAAUUCACAUUAACAUCCGUAGUAUAGUAAACUGUAGGUCCCAUGUAAAGCUUUAUUUCAAGUGCAUUGGAAUUUGAUUUGAAUUGAAAUCUGCUCGUUGACAAUACGAUUACCAUGAUUUUCUUGAAUUCCGAUUUAUUGUCGAGAUUCCACUUUUACAAUUUCACGUUACCUGUAGAGAAUCAAUUAUUCUCUGGAGAUUUUACCUAUAAAAACAGCACUCGAAAGUCAUUUGCCGUUAAAGUACCUGACAUAUGCGUCUAUUUUUCCACCUCUCGAAAUAUUAUAUCUAUUUCUCGACGACUUAACUUCAUAUUUCAUGAAAAAUGACGGUAGAAAAACCAGCAGAGAUGUUGGAACAAAAGUCAUUCGAGGAAGGAAAUAACCUCCUUAAAAACUCCAAGCUCAUGCUGACGCGACGAAACAAUUCAAGGACCGAACAAGCAACAAUAUCUCGACAAUUAAUGGAGCAAUUAAUCGAAAAAACCAUCGACACGACUUUCGACAAGGCGUUUCGAAAUGCAAGCAUCGAGUCGAAUCACGGCACGCCGAUAUUCAAUGCAUGCGCAAUACGCAACCGGGGCCGUAGUCUAUCGAUGUUUCCCUUCUCUGAAUGGUGGUUUUGUAUUUCGAGAAUGUUAAUAUGACGAAGCGUCUGCUAACGGCUGCCAGACGCUGAAUAAUCAAACGGAAUACCUAAGCGGCUCGAAUUUCUUCGCUCUUUGGAAGCGAACGAUGUUUAUUUCGAGGAACGAUGGUGCUGGCAAGUUUUCGAUAUGUGUCAGCAGUCUCAGCCUGCGAAUCGACGAAUCCGCACAUUUUUUACCGAUCUCGUGCAAAAUCAAUUUCCUUCUUUUUUAUUUAUUUCUGUUGAGACGUAAGAAUAAAAUCGGAAUUGUAAACUGAGAUUUCUAGGCAGUCGACCAACACCGAUGACGGUGGUUCUGAAAUUUCAGACGCACCCCCAAUAAAAUCGCGAACUGUUGCUCCGUCGCGAGAUCCCUUCGGAUCUUCUAGCAAAGAUCAAUCAUUUAAGUAGGUAAUCGUAGAUGCGGAUUGACAACACCAACGAAAACGCAAUUAUCGAAAAUUAUUUUGCACGCUUAUUGUUAGUACUCUAUGCGAAUCACCUGGAAGCCAGCCAUCCAUGAAACAAUGAGAACGAUUCGAGUCCGCUGUCUACAAAAUACACGCACAACGCACAAAGAGUACAGAACGUAUUUGUAAGAAUCAUUCUUGAUAUCACUCGCGGCUGCAGUUUGCGAAAAUGACAUACGGAAUCCGAAAGACAGACAUUAUGACCCAUAUUGAAGAACUCGCGCGAAGAACAUUGAACAAAACACACAACAAUACACUAAGCAACAAAAUAGCAAGAUACAAUCGUAACGAAUUCCUAUUCAAAAUUAGAAAGAACACCUAUCCCACAGUUUAUCAUUCAGAAACCUAAUGCCACUUGAUUUCAUUCAGACGCGUACAGGUUUUUGGAAAUAUUUCCUGUCCACACACAUUGAAGCUCAAGAAGCCAAUACUAAUUGUCAAUAAAUCUCCACCUACACUUGCAGAUUUUAAGCGCGUAAUAAGGCGAACUUUAACUGUCUAAGGCAUCGCAUCAAACAUACCCAGACGAAAGAAAAAGAAAGGAAAGACACUUAGUAUUGUCAACGCAAUUGUGUAACAUACAACUCAAUUCUUGUCCAACUCGGCUAAACCUACUCGCUCGAAAUUGUAAUUUAUAAUAAUUCGAGUUGUGAGCGAAUACGUGAUAUCUUCCCAAUCGCGACGAAAAACGCGGUAUACGACGAUUUUCUUCGACAGAUCGACCGAAAUUGUACCGCGUUUGUGUUCUUUGAUCUUAUUAUUUUAUAUUUUGAUCGAUACGUCCGGUCGACGAGAAGCGAGGAUGUUGAAAGGUUCGUAGAGGUUCGAUUGCGAAACGAACAAACCGAUUUCUUGGAUUCAACGCGGAACAUAUUGUCCCGCUAUUCUUAGAACGGAUCAAGCUUACUUACAGCGUUGUCCGUCUAGAUUUACAUAGGUUGGCCCGUGGCACACUAACACCAUGAGCAUACACGUCAAAUCGUAUCGAUCUACGCCAGUCACGACCGACCAUUGUUCCUGUAAGCUCUUUCGCGGCUGACACUUCGUUCGGAAACCUUGCUCGCUUGCGUGUAAUCCGGUAUUUACAUAUUCCCAAAUGCUUGCACGAGUUGCGGAUCACGGCUGAACUCUGCACACCGUCCUGGCAUCUCGCUCCUUUCUUUGAAAUUGGUUUAACUUACAAGAGCAGCUUUGGAGAUGCACAAUAUCGCUUAUUGAUGGUACGAGCAUUUUCGCGAGUUAAGAACCAGAGAGUUCCAAUCUGCGCAUAAUAAUAGAUCGAGAUGCACAUUCACCGCGAAAGAAAUAUAAAAAAUGAUCUUCCAUUUUCUCACUUUUUUCUUUCUUCUUUUCAACGAAAGCGAACAAUUAUUUAGAAGCUUACAAAACAAUUAUUUACCAAACGUAAUUGUUACAAUUACAAAUAGACUCUAAGAAACAAUGGUACAAUAUUAUUUUUAUAAUUUCUUAUUUUUUACACUUGAAAUCUUCCUUUCACGUUUCUAAUGAUUUUCUAAUACAAACUGAUUUAUUUUCUAUCGUGACGCUCUUGAAAUACACCUGAGAAAUUUGAAAUAUGAAAUACGAAGUACGGAACAAACGAAAUACUCCUCAAAUUCCUGUGAAAUUCAAUUCCACAUCCCUACCCCAUCAAAACGUGCAUCCAGAACGAGUCAGAACACGUGACCAGUUACAGCCCCGGGGCGAUAUAAUUCCCGUGUUGGCAUAGAAGUACGUAGCUCGCGUGGGAUUGGAUAAGGGCACGAAGCACGGCCAAUUUGGGUUAAUAACGCUCCUCGGUUAAAUCUACUACAAGAAAGACAGAACACCGUCGACACGUUUUCUCAGUCGCGUUCUUCAUCCUCGGGUUACGACUAUUACGGUGCGCAGUAUAGUGUAGAGUUUAUAUCAUGACUCUCCCUACGCUUUCGUAAAAUUUAGUAAUAUCUUUUUCUCUCUUGAAGUUUCUUACAAUGGAUUCUUUCGUGAAGAAGGCAACUUUAUUAAUUGCAUUGGGCUAUUAAUGUAUUUUAUAUACGUAUACGAAACUUUUAUAUAUGAAACUGUUUGAGGCUAAUUAUUAGUUGUUAAAUCUGAUUAACAAUAAUUUAGUAAAAUAAAAGUGUAAAUAAGCAUUCGUUCACCGUCUAACGAUCGAACAUUUGCACCUGAAUGUUGCAUUUUAUUAUUGUAUUUAAAAGAGUACAAGAUGAUUAUCAAAAUGGAGGUCUCUCAGCCGAGUUACUUACAAUUAGCUAGUGUUUGGAAUGCUGCGUGUGGAAUGAUUCGUGAAACAACGAAUUAGAAGUUUCUCACUUCAAGUGACCAUAGCUUGCGAAUUGAAUGCAUGGAGUGCAAGAAAUCGAAUCCUAUUCUGUAAAGGAAAAUAGAUAUUUGUAUAGCAUGUAAAAACAUAUUGGACAAAUUGUUAAUUAAUAACCAGACAAAAGAUACAUAUGUAUUCUUGGCUUAAGGCUUCAGAAAUCUGCAAAAUGCAUAUAACAUGUAAGAAUAUACAAAACAUUCAAAGUAGAAAACUUGUUGUUGUGUCGUACCUACAUCUUUAUAAAGAUAUAAAAUUGCAUAAACAUUCGCAUAAAUUGUUAUCAAUUUGUAUUAACAAAACGCGACAAGUUAUUACAUUAUAACUUACUUCCAAGACAAAAUGGAAUAUAAUAAAUACGAAGAACCAUCGUUAUAUUUUAUUCUUUUCUUCGGACGAUACUUUCUCAAUCAAAUCAUCAUUGGCGACAAAGUAUACGAUAUAUGAUAUUUUCUUACAAUUUUAGGCUGGAAACGGUACAGAUUUGGCACUUUUUAACCACGCCCCUCCCCUACAAAUCCAUAAACAUCCGCCACGUAAGGUACGUAAAGGUACUCGUUUACUCUAGAGUUAAACAAUCGUGAGUUGCUCUCGAGGGUGUUUCUCGCAAGUGGAUACCGCUUUGAGAGCGAUUCUCAUUCUCUAUCCUAUCUGAUAGUGACUCGAAUAGUCGUGUUUCUCAACGCAGUGUUCACUUACGAGAAAUACUCUCGAGAGCACCUCGCGAUAGUUUUACUCUUGAGUGGACGCGUACCUCGACGAUUACCCUCUCGGUCCACCUUAGAUAGGAGAGAGGCGGAAAGCAACGAGCGAGCGUGCGCUCGCGUGGCCGUGUGUGGGUCGAGAAACCGGAGUUAUUUAUGAAGUGUACCACGGGGAGAGGCACGACCGUGGGGCCGCCUAUCUGAUGCUCUUAUUUCGUUGUUUGCUCCCAAGCGCGUAAUACCGAGCUAGAAAAGCGCGACACGUGCGCUUGCUGCCCGUGCGUCGCACGUCUUCCUCUCCGCCGUGUGUUCCGCUGAUACGCCACGUGGGUGAGCGUGUAGAAACCCGAUGGAGAGUUAGACUCUCCAGUUAGGUAUAGUCGUGUCGAGGGAAUCGUCGCGAACAAUGUGAGCCUAUUCCAGGUUCGGGUGUUCCUAAGCGACCCCGAGAUUCCGACGUGACACUGACCAGCUACGUGAUGAAUUUCAACGCUGCCUUCGCUUCGAACCCUGUUUCUCGUGCCAUUAAUGAGCCAGUCAAUUCUUUGUGUGAGUGCGCUUCUAGUUCGCUUUGGGAUUCAGAGGUAGAGAGGUUGAUGGAUUUAGUGGUUUCUAGUGAGGUGUGGUUCUAUCUGGGUUAGAGUUUGAGCGCACAUUUCCAGUAAUUUGGCGGUGUUUGGAGUUGUGAGGAAUUUUGCAAGCUCCGAAAAAUUUUUCAGUUUCAUAUUAAACAUUACCUCGAAACGUCAGAAAUUCUUUUUCUUUGCUAAAAUGAGAACGAGAUUGAAAUACAAAGAUUUGAGGAUCGCAGCAGGGUUAAAAUUCUUCGACCAAACAAGGAAAAAAAUUCACGACUAACUCGUCAUUCUUUCCAUCAAACGUUCGUCCGUUCGCCAUAAUUACCCAUAAUUACCAUCUAUCAGAACGUGACGUCUGCAUUAAGCUGCUGUCAAUGGCAAUUAAAAGUCUUUGGAAGCGAGGCUAUCAACGAGACGAUUAUUCAUCGGCCUUCGAAAGCGGUUACUUAUCCGAAACAAUUCACAGUAUACUACACAGAAACAAGAAAUUCGAGCUCUGUUCGAUUCUGAAAUCGCGUGUAUCAUGCCACUAGUAAGAUACGCAGAGAUGAACACACGAAGCGAAACGUGGCGAAUACGAGAGCCAAAUAAGCCGAAAGCACGCCAUUAGCGUAUGUAAAUAUCUCGUUCGGACAGGAAUCAAUUACCUUGGUCGUCCUCCUGCGAUCCUUGCGCCGUUCCAUGCAUAGCAAUGAAGUCAGAAGAUGAGGAACCAACGGAAAGCACCGGUCAAACGAUGGACAGGAAAACCACUUAAAGCGUAAUUGCGCGUAAAACGUUCGAUAAUUCCGCGAACUAUAGCGGAGGUGUGAACGCGAGGAUUUUAAUUUACCAGCCUUUAAAUUUCACGUAAUCGUUGUUGACAGUUAAUUCGAUGGAAGUAUUUUGCCGAAUGCAUUUUGGUACAGACAACGAAUGAUGAGUAGGCUGUGAAUGAUUCUGGAUUUACAUAGGUUAGAUAUUGCGACAAGUGUAGAUAAAUACGUGAACAUGCGUCAUCCCAGGCCAUAAAUCUUAGGACAUGUACAAAUAAUUGUACGUUCAAAUUAAACGUCCUCCACUGUUUUUAUUUUCUAAUCAUUUUAUCGUAAAUGUAUAAUUUCACUCGCAUCGCGUGUGCCUUAUAACGCAGAGUAUUAAAUAAUACAACAUUUGUUAAUGUUUUUCACUGAA